rnacentral:rRNA from 1 species
GACGGAGGAUGCAAGCGUUAUCCGGAAUUAUUGGGCGUAAAGCGUCCGCAGGUGGCUGUUCAAGUCUGCUGUCAAAGCGCAGAGCUUAACUCUGUACAGGCGGUGGAAACUGAAGAGCUAGAGUAUGGUAGGGGUAGAGGGAAUUCCCGGUGUAGCGGUGAAAUGCGUAGAUAUCGGGAAGAACACCAGUGGCGAAAGCGGUCUACUGGGCCAUAACUGACACUGAGGGACGAAAGCUAGGGGAGCGAAAGGG